AUACGGAGGAUCCGAGCGUUAUCCGGAUUUAUUGGGUUUAAAGGGUGAGCAGGCGGCCAUUUAAGUCAGCGGUUAAAUCGUGGGGCUCAACCCCAUUCUGCCGUUGAUACUGGGUGGCUUGAUUGCGGUCGAGGUUGGCGGAAUUCGUUGUGUAGCGGUGAAAUGCAUAGAUAUGACGAAGAACACCGAUUGCGUAGGCAGCUGACCAGACCGCAAAUGACGCUCAUGCACGAAAGUGCGGGGAUCGAACAGGAUUAGAUACCCUGGUAGUCCGCACAGUAAACGAUGAAUACUUGUUUUCGGCGAUAUAAUGUCGGAGGCAAAGCGAAAGCGAUAAGUAUUCCACCUGGGGAGUACGCCGGCAACGGUGAAACUCAAAGGAAUUGACGGGG
rnacentral:rRNA from 1 species